UACAGAGGGGGCAAGCGUUAUUCGGAAUUAUUGGGCGUAAAGGGCGCGUAGGCGGCUUGGCAAGUGGAUGGUGAAAUCCCUCGGCUUAACCGAGGAACUGCCGUCCAAACUGCUUCGCUUGAGACCGGGAGAGGUGAGUGGAAUUCCCAGUGUAGCGGUGAAAUGCGUAGAUAUUGGGAGGAACAUCAGUGGCGAAAGCGACUUCCUGGACCAAUACUGACGCUCAUGUGCGAAAGCGUGGGGAGCAAACAGG
rnacentral:rRNA from 1 species